UACGAAGGGGGCGAGCGUUAUUCGGAAUCACUGGGCGUAAAGCGUGCGUAGGCUGCUUGGAAAGUUGGAAGUGAAAGCCCAGGGCUCAACCCUGGAAUUGCUUUCAAAACUACCAGGCUAGGAUUUGGGAGAGGAUAGCGGAAUUGUCAGUGUAGCAGUGAAAUGCGUAGAUAUUGACAGGAACACCAGUGGCGCAGGCGGCUAUCUGGACCAACAUCGACGCUGAGGCACGAAAGCGUGGGGAUCAAACAGG
rnacentral:rRNA from 1 species